AUGGACAUCUCCGUCAUGGUUCAACCCUGUCACGUUCCUCCCCAGGCUCUUUCUGACAAAAAUAGACGUCCAGACUCCAACCACCAUGAGUUUAUCUUCCUUUGGGAAAUUGGGAUUGUUAGUGCCCUCAAUGAUUGCAUCACUUUGUAUCAGUGGGCCAAAUCUGCCAUUUCAUCUCUUCACUCCAGAUGGAGUAGUUCACAGGAGGAGCAAAGUCUCCAGGAUCGUGUGUGUAUUACAGUUGGAGAGUGGCCUACAACUUCUCAGGGAUACUCUUUCCUGCAAUGCAUGACCACACUAAUAAAGCAGAGUGUGGCAAAGCCAUGA
rnacentral:rRNA from 1 species